rnacentral:rRNA from 1 species
GACGAACGCUGGCGGCGUGCUUAACACAUGCAAGUCGAACGGUAAGGCUCCAGCUUGCUGGGGUACACGAGUGGCGAACGGGUGAGUAACACGUGGGUGACCUGCCCUGCACUUCGGGAUAAGCCUGGGAAACUGGGUCUAAUACCGGAUAGGACCAUGGUGUGGAUACUGUGGUGGAAAGUUUUUUCGGUGUGGGAUGGGCCCGCGGCCUAUCAGCUUGUUGGUGGGGUAAUGGCCUACCAAGGCGGCGACGGGUAGCCGGCCUGAGAGGGUGGACGGCCACAUUGGGACUGAGACACGGCCCAGACUCCUACGGGAGGCAGCAGUGGGGAAUAUUGCACAAUGGGCGGAAGCCUGAUGCAGCGACGCCGCGUGGGGGAUGACGGCCUUCGGGUUGUAAACUCCUUUCACCAUCGACGAAGGGUUUCUGACGGUAGAUGGAGAAGAAGCACUGGCUAACUACGUG